rnacentral:lncRNA from 13 species
UACUCUUCGGUAACAACCAAUCACACUACUUGUUCUAGAAGAAAGAUAAGUCUGUUGAAGUUUCUUCGCAUAGAUUAUAGGUUUACGUAACCUAGAGUUAAAAUCUGGUUGUGAAACACGAUAGAAGUUUAACCGUGGCGUUAAACUUGACGGUAGUUCAACUAAGCUCGAGUUAAACCCAAAGUUGUGAAACUGGGCCUGGAUGUUAUUGGUUAUGUUGUUAUAAGAGUGUCGAACGAUUGGUUAAAGCUAGAGUUGGUAUAAAGAGAGUUGCGACAAUGUAGGUGCCUAAUGCUGAUUGGCUCCGCCAUUAAGGGGGAAAUUUCCGGUUAGCUGUCAGUUAGGUUAGGUAGGUUAAAUAAUUAUCCUUGGUUGAAUCGUCAGGUGUGUUUACGUGUGUCAGUUGAUACAAUUUUCCAAACUCUACGUGAAAAAAAUAUUAAUUACACAAGUCGAGAUGGUACAUUGUGCAGCAGAGGGAUGCCAAAACACUUCCAAAUUAAGUGU